GCCAGUUGUGAUACGCUUUUACUAAGGAUUAAGCCAUGCAUUUCUAAGUAUAAAUCCUUGAAUGGUGAGACUGAGAACGGCUCAAUAGGCUCAGUUAUAGUUUAUUUGAUAAUGAAUUGAAGGGUAAAACUUUCGAAUUAAUUGGAUAACCGAGGAAAAGCUUGGGCUAAUACAUGCUAUACAAAAACAGAGAACUUUUGAAGAACUCUGGUAUUUAUUAGAAUAAAGAAAACCAAACUAGGUAGCAAUAUCUAGGCACUCAUCAAGCAUGAGUGAUAAUAACUCGUGAGAUUUGGGAACGUUUUUUGAGUAGCAGCAAUGUUAUUCGAGAGACAUCAUUCCUAGAUUUCCGCAGCGAAUCGUAUUGGGUUGUAAAAAACCUACGAUGAUUGAUUCGAAUUUCUGCUCUAUCAACUAUUAUGCUGUGUAGUGGACAGCAUAGGUUUUGACGGAUACGGAGGAUAAGGGUUCGAUUCCGGAGAUGGCGCAUAGAGAAAUGGCGACAACUUCUAAGGAAGGCAGCAGGCACGUAACUUACCCAAUGUUCAAAAAGCGAAAAGAACGAGGUAGUGACAGUACAUAUAAACAUGGCCGGUCUACGAUCGGUUUUGAUUUAAAUGAGUACAAUGUAAACAACUUAACAAGGAUCAAUUGGAGGGCAAGUCUGGUGCCAGCAGCCGCGGUAAUUCCAGCUCCAAUAGCGUAUAUAUGAGUUGUUGUAGUUAAAAAGUUCGUAGUUGGAUUUUAAGAAUGAUAUGCAUAAAGGGUUUUGAGAUUGAAAAACAAUUUUAAGAAUACCUUUAAUCAUUCUCCCCUAGCGAUAGGGUUUGGGUAAGAUGUGUAGGUUAGGGCCUUAAAACCUUUACUUACAAUUUAAAAACAUUUUAUCCCGUUUACUUUGAGGAAAUUCGAGUGUUCAAAGCAGGCAACAUUAGUUUUGCCAUUUUUUGAAGAUCACAGCAUAGUAUAAUAGAAUAGGUUCUGAUAGGAUAGAAUUCAACACUCUUUUUGGUUUUGACUGUCUUAUUGAAAAUGAUUAAUAGAAACAGCUUUACUUUAUUGGGGAUAUUCAUAUUUGAUUGCUAGAGGUGAAAUUCUUGGAUUUUUCAAAGAUGAACUAAUGCGAAAGCAUUUAUCAAGGAUGUUUUCAU
rnacentral:rRNA from 1 species